CUUGAUUAUCAAAGCUUUGAUAGUGAAGCCGAAUUCUUAUGUGUUUUUAGUUUUUAUACUGAAUGAUAAACAAAACAUCAAGUCAAUUUGGACUACAAAAACACAAACCAAGUUUCUUCAUGAUUCUGAAAGCUUUGAUAGUGAACCCGAAGUUCUUAACAGUUUUUGGUUUUGAAUCGUAUAACAAGGAAGCACUACUUUACUCUUCGGGAUCUCGUUGAGGUUCUAGUUUUAUAUUCAAUCAUACACAUGACAUCUACUCAUAUUUCACUCCGAAACGCUAACCCAGAUUCUUCUUGCUCUUCAAUGAUUUGAUGGUGUAACCUAAGUCCGUAUGAUUUUUGGUUCGGGAUCUUCAAACAGGGAAAGAUAAAUUUAGGUUCAUAGCCCUGGUUGUGGUUUUAGCCCUAAAACUCAAUCAUCCACCUAUCAUCUUGAGAUAUUUGAUUCCAAAACGCUUACAAAGAUUGUACUUACAU
rnacentral:sRNA from 1 species